rnacentral:rRNA from 1 species
UGGGGAAUAUUGCACAAUGGGCGCAAGCCUGAUGCAGCCAUGCCGCGUGUAUGAAGAAGGCCUUCGGGUUGUAAAGUACUUUCAGUCGGGAGGAAGGUGGUAAGGUUAAUAACCUUAUCAAUUGACGUUACCGACAGAAGAAGCACCGGCUAACUCCGUGCCAGCAGCCGCGGUAAUACGGAGGGUGCAAGCGUUAAUCGGAGUUACUGGGCGUAAAGCGCACGCAGGCGGUUGAUUGAGUCAGAUGUGAAAUCCCCGGGCUCAACCUGGGAACUGCAUCUGAUACUGGCAAGCUUGAGUCUCGUAGAGGGGGGUAGAAUUCCAGGUGUAGCGGUGAAAUGCGUAGAGAUCUGGAGGAAUACCGGUGGCGAAGGCGGCCCCCUGGACGAAGACUGACGCUCAGGUGCGAAAGCGUGGGGAGCAAACAGG